rnacentral:rRNA from 2 species
AACCGAAAGGUGACGACCUUCGGGAGCUAGCACAGGUGCUGCAUGGCUGUCGUCAGCUCGUGUCGUGAGAUGUUCGGUUAAGUCCGCUAACGAGCGCAACCCUCGCUGUGUGUUAUAUGUGUCACAUGGGACUGCCGGCCUUAAGCCGGAGGAAGGUGGGGAUGAUGUCAAGUCAGCAUGGCCUUUAUGUCCUGGGCUACACACACGCUACAAUGGUCAGCACAAUGGGUCGCUAAGCCGCAAGGUGGAGCCAAUCCUCAAAGUUGGCCUCAGUUCAGAUUGUAGGCUGCAACUCGCCUGCAUGAAGAUGGAGUUGCUAGUAAACGCAGGUCAGCUAUACUGCGUUGAAUACGUUCCCGGGGCUU